GUUCGGAAUAACUCAGGGAAACUUGGGCUAAUACCGGAUACGCCCUAACGGGGAAAGAUUUAUCGCCAUAGGAGGGGCCCGCGUCGGAUUAGGUAGUUGGUGGGGUAACGGCCCACCAAGCCUUCGAUCCGUAGCUGGUCUGAGAGGAUGAUCAGCCACACUGGGACUGAGAUACGGCCCAGACUCCUACGGGAGGCAGCAGUGGGGAAUAUUGGACAAUGGGGGCAACCCUGAUCCAGCAAUGCCGCGUGGGUGAUGAAGGCCUUCGGGUUGUAAAGCCCUUUCGGCGGGGAAGAUGAUGACGGUACCCGCAGAAGAAGCCCCGGCUAACUUCGUGCCAGCAGCCGCGGUAAUACGAAGGGGGCUAGCGUUGUUCGGAAUUACUGGGCGUAAAGGGCGCGUAGGCUGUGCUGUAAGUCAGGCGUGAAAGGCCCGGGCUCAACCUGGGAACUGCGCUUGAUACUGCGGCGCUGGAAGGCGGGAGAGGAUGGCGGAAUUCCCAGUGUAGAGGUGAAAUUCGUAGAUAUUGGGAAGAACACCGGUGGCGAAGGCGGCCAUCUGGCCCGCAAUUGACGCUGAGGCGCGAAAGCGUGGGGAGCAAACAGGAUUAGAUACCCUGGUAGCCCACGCCCUAAACGAUGUCAACUG
rnacentral:rRNA from 1 species